rnacentral:rRNA from 1 species
AUGCAAGUCGAACGAAGUAGCAAUACUUAGUGGCAGACGGGUGAGUAACAUGUAGGUAUCUGCCCUUUGGCCUGGAAUAACACGAGGAAACUUGUGCUAAUACCGGAUAAGUCUUUACGGAGAAAGCUUUAUGCACCAUUGGAUGAGCCUGCACUUGAUUAGUUUGUUGGUGGGGUAAUGGCCUACCAAGACUGUGAUCAAUAGCUGAUUUGAGAGGAUGAUCAGCCACAUUGGGACUGAGACACGGCCCAAACUCCUACGGGAGGCAGCAGUGGGGAAUCUUGCACAAUGGAGGAAACUCUGAUGCAGCGAUGCCGCGUGAGUGAAGAAGGCCUUUGGGUUGUAAAGCUCUUUCGUCGGGGAAGAAAAUGACUGUACCCGAAUAAGAAGGUCCGGCUAACUUCGUGCCAGCAGCCGCGGUAAUACGAAGGGACCUAGCGUAGUUCGGAAUUACUGGGCUUAAAGAGUUCGUAGGUGGUUGAAAAAGUUGGUGGUGAAAUCCCAGAGCUUAACUCUGGAACUGCCAUCAAAACUUUUCAGCUAGAGUUUGAUAGAGGAAAGCAGAAUUUCUAGUGUAGAGGUGAAAUUCGUAGAUAUUAGAAAGAAUACCAAUUGCGAAGGCAGCUUUCUGGAUCAUUACUGACACUGAGGAACGAAAGCACGGGUAGCGAAGAGGAUUAGAUACCCUCGUAGUCCAUGCCGUAAACGAUGUGUGUUAGACGUUGGAAAUUUAUUCUCAGUGUCGCAGCGAAAGCGAUAAACACACCGCCUGGGGAGUACGACCGCAAGGUUAAAACUCAAAUGAAUUGACGGGGACCCGCACAAGUAGUGGAGCAUGUGGUUUAAUUCGAAGAUACGCGCAGAACCUUACCAACACUUGACAUGUUCGUCGCGACUUUAAGAGAUUAAAGUUUUCGGUUCGGCCGGACGAAACACAGGUGCUGCAUGGCUGUCGUCAGCUCGUGUCGUGAGA